CUUGCCCCGAGAUGAGUUCUCCCUGACCCUUUAAGGGUCCUGAAGGAACGUUGAAGACGACGACGUUGAUAGGCCGGGUGUGUAAGCGCAGCGAUGCGUUGAGCUAACCGGUACUAAUGAACCGUGAGGCUUAACCUU
rnacentral:rRNA from 1 species